GCUCUCCCUUUGAAGAACCAAGAUGGCGGCCAGUGUGAAAUGUUAAGUUAAAAAUCCUUCAUAUUUUUCACGUUUUCAAGGGUAAAGGAAGCGAGUGGAGGCGAGACAAGGGACAUAAAGGAAGAAGAAGACUCAUUUAUCAUCUAGGAGCCACGGGAAGACAAGCUUGUCAGAAGAAGAAGAGGAAGAGGAAGAGGAGGAGGAAGAGGAACUGUGUAAUGCAGGAAGAAGAGGAGGAGGAGGAGGAGGAAGAACUGGGAGGCUUAGAGAAGAAGAAAGGAAGAAAGAAGGAAGAGGAGGAAGAGAAACUGUGUGAUAGAAGAAGAGGAGGAGGAGGAAGAAAUAUAGAAGGAAGAACUGGGAGGCUUAUAGAAGAAGAAGGAAGAGGAAGAAGGAGAAGAAUGUGUUUGAAGAUACCCUAAACUUAACCUAACCUAACCUAACAAAACCCCAAACAGUCACUAUAGGUCUUGACUCAGAAAAUUCAUAUAUGCUUCCUUACUAAUGAGACUUUCUAUACAACAAAGUGAGGUCAUUCUGUGUUGAUUUAUACCAUAAGGUGCUGGCUAUCAUGUGUUUGAAGAUACCCUAAACUUAACCUAACCUAACAAAACCCCAAACAGUCACUAUAGGUCUUGACUCAGAAAAUUCAUAUAUACUUCCUUACUAAUGAGACUUUCUAUACAACAAAGUGAGGUCAUUCUGUGUUGAUUUAUACCAUAAGGUGCUGGCUGUCAUGUGUUUGAAGAUACCCUAAACUUAACCUAACCUAACAAAACCCCAAACAGUCACUAUAGGUCUUGACUCAGAAAAUUCAUAUAUACUUCCUUACUAAUGAGACUUUCUGUGCAACAAAGUGAGGUCAUUCUGUGUUGAUUUAUGCCAUAAGGUGCUGGCUAUCAUGUGUUUGAAGAUACCCUAAACUUAACCUAACCUAACCUAACAAAACCCCAAACAGUCACUAUAGGUCUUGACUCAGAAAAUUCAUAUAUACUUCCUUACUAAUGAGACUUUCCAUACAACAAAGUGAGGUCAUUCUGUGUUGAUUUAUACCAUAAGGUGCUGGCUGUCAUGUGUUUGAAGAUACCCUAAACUUAACCUAACCUAACAAAACCCCAAACAGUCACUAUAGGUCUUGACUCAGAAAAUUCAUAUAUGCUUUCUUACUAAUGAGACUUUCUAUACAACAAAGUGAGGUCAUUCUGUGUUGAUUUAUACCAUAAGGUGCUGGCUAUCAUGUGUUUGAAGAUACCCUAAACUUAACCUAACAAAACCCCAAACAGUCACUAUAGGUCUUGACUCAGAAAACUCAUCUAUGCUUCCUUACUAAUGAGACUUUCUAUACAACAAAGUGAGGUCAUUCUGUGUUGAUUUAUACCAUACGUCACUGGCUGUCAUGUGUUUGAAGAUACCCUAAACUUAACCUAACCUAACCUAACAAAACCCCAAACAGUCACUAUAGGUCUUGACUCAGAAAAUUCAUAUAUGCUUCCUUACUAAUGAGACUUUCUAUACAACAAAGUGAGGUCAUUCUUUGUUGAUUUAUACCAUAAGGUGCUGGCUGUCAUGUGUUUGAAGAUACCCUAAACUUAACCUAACAAAACCCCAAACAGUCACAAUAGGUCUUGACUCAGAAAAUUCAUAUAUACUUCCCUACUAAUGAGACUUUCUAUACAACAAAGUGAGGUCAUUCUGUGUUGAUUUACACCAUACGUCACUGGCUGUCAUGUGUUUGAAGAUAC